rnacentral:rRNA from 1 species
GACGAACGCUGGCGGCGUGCUUAACACAUGCAAGUCGAACGGUGAAGGGGUCUGCUUUUGUGGGGCCUGGAUGAGUGGCGAGUGGGUGAGUAACAAGUGAGUAACCUGCCCCCUUCUUCUGGAUAACCGCAUGAAAGUGUGGCUAAUACGGGGUAUUCUGGGUCUGUGGCAGGAUGGGUCUGGGAAAGGUUGCGCGGUUGGGUGUUUUUGGUGGGGGAUGGGCUGGCGGGGUAUGAGCUUGUUGGUGGGGUGAUGGCCUACCGGGGCGGUGGCGGGUAGCGGGUCGGCGGGGGGGGAGGGUGAGACGGGGACUGAGACACGGGCGAGACAGCUACGGGAGGGAGCCGUGCGGAAGAUUGCACAAUGGGAGAAAGCCUGAUGGAGCGACGCCGCGUGAAGCAAGGAGGCCUUCGGGGUGUAAGCCUUCUUGGUGAGUGCAGCAGGCCUGUUCGAUGUGGGUGGGUUGACGGUAGCUGGUAAAGAAGCGCCGGCUAACUACGUG